rfam:Psychroflexus torquis ATCC 700755, complete genome.
UUGCCACUGGCAAGUCCUACACAACUAGCUCCUGUCGAAUCCCCCAGAGCGGGAACGCAGCAAGGGUAGAUAGUUGAGCGGUGUGAUGUAGGUCGCUUGCCUUUUU